CCUACGGGUGGCAGCAGUGAGGAAUAUUGGUCAAUGGGCGAGAGCCUGAACCAGCCAAGUCGCGUGAAGGAUGACGGCCCUAUGGGUUGUAAACUUCUUUUAUAUGGGAAUAAAAUGUUCCACGUGUGGGAUUUUGUAUGUACCAUAUGAAUAAGGAUCGGCUAACUCCGUGCCAGCAGCCGCGGUAAUACGGAGGAUCCGAGCGUUAUCCGGAUUUAUUGGGUUUAAAGGGAGCGUAGGUGGAUUGUUAAGUCAGUUGUGAAAGUUUGCGGCUCAACCGUAAAAUUGCAGUUGACACUGGCAGUCUUGAGUACAGUAGAGGUGGGCGGAAUUCGUGGUGUAGCGGUGAAAUGCUUAGAUAUCACGAAGAACUCCGAUUGCGAAGGCAGCUCACUGGACUGCAACUGACACUGAGGCUCGAAAGUGUGGGUAUCAAACAGGAUUAGAUACCCGGGUAGUC
rnacentral:rRNA from 1 species